UCUAGAGCAGGAAAGUAGUUUAUUUAUCUAAUCCCUUAUGACUCUGGUCUCAAUCGGUUUUAUCUAAGUGCAGCACUGAAAUCCUCAAUGUCCUGUGAACACAUGCCUGCACAGCACUCUCUCCCAGACCUUUCUUGGAUGGCCAAGCGCAGCUGGUUAAUUUAGAUAAGGCUCAGCAAACAGCGUAUUUGGAAAACUGUCUGCUCUUUCCAUUUAGUAUAAACUUCCUUUUCCACUCUCUGUUUGUGUUACGUAGACAUAUGUAAAUCCUUCCACCAGAGAUUUCCUUCAAGGAGAAAGUCAAGGCACAGAGUAAGAGGAAGCCCUGUUCCCACCACGCCAUUCGGAUGGUGCCAGCAAGGAGGGGCUCCCCCAAGUCCCCCCCUCACGGCCCCACAGCGGGGCUCUGGCGUCGCGGCCGGCCGUUUCCCUACAGGACUCUGGGAAUGACUUGGGGCUUUUCUUCUGUUUGAGAAAAAGCCUAGUAUUCACAUCUGCCUCCUUGCUGCCCUUGUCUGUGCCACAAGUCCAUGGCAACAUUUUAGAUCUCUCACUGGAGAACUUUCUGCAAUGUCAUUAGCCAGUCAAAGAUAAUUUAAUUUCCCUAGAUUUGGUAUUGUUUUAAUUAAUGUCCAGCUAGUCAGCUGUUCCUCAGGGCGUCUGCACUCUCCUCUCUCCGGCUGUGGAUAUUUUGUCCUGGAAAGGGGGAUGCAGUGGGAUGUCCAGCUGCAGCUCCCUCUGCAGCCAGGCUGGCCCAGCUCUCCAUGGCUGGGGCUCCCCCCAGUUGGGGCUCCCCAGGGCCAGCUGGGGACCUGCCCCACAGGCUGGGUGGAGUGGUGUGGUGCAGACAACCCACAGAGUUCUGACCCGUGAAAGGGCCUCGGUUACCUGUGGGGUCUGUUUUGGGCUGCAUUACCGCCCUGGCUGAUGGGGAGGGAUGGUGCAGGAAGGCUCCGGGGGAAGAGGCCAGCAUCAGAGCUGAGGUGGCAGCCCUGUGCUGUCAGCAGCUUCCCCCCACCUUGCUCUCCUUUGAGACACCCGGCAAAAGGGUUUUGGAGGGAUGCUGUUUGGAAACAAUGUCUUGAGUGCUGGGUGACAUCCCUGGGGACCAACCAGCCCUCUGCUUCCAGAGCCCUAUGGGAUUCUUUUCCUCCCACCCUCCAGUGGCCUUGGGCAUGACCGCAGUGGGACCGGCUGGGAUGGAAACGACUGGCCCCUCCUGUCCCCACUCAUCCCAGCCCUACUGGACGUCAUCCUCCAGUUACCAGGGCACUAAAACCUGACCUGGAAACUGCCCCAAAAGCCAUGGGGGUGUGGUACAAAGCAAAAAGAAUGGUGCCAUUUCUUGAAACACGCUGCUAACAUGGGUCCUAUAGUAAAAGACGGAACACAGAACAAGCUCAGUUGUAAAUAGGAAAAAAUACCUAAUAAAAUGAAUACUAUGUAUGCAAAGUUAACAGCAGUGGCGAGAAGAAAGGCUGAGCUCAGUGCACCAGUAAACGCAGAAAGACAAAGAGCAGCAGCGACAGGUAGGCAUGCAGGAGAAAAGGCUGCUCAGCUGCAAGUCAACAUCACCUUAGAAAAUAAUUUGUGAAAAGAAUUCUUCAAAAAAGAGUGUUAUCACUGUGACUAUAUUAAACAACACUAUAAUGAUGCAAUUUUAUUUUAUUCUUCAGAAAUGCCAAAGCCACCAAAACGUUCAGAGCUGCGUGCUUAGACUGACCCCUUCAAUCACUGUUGGUGUAAAGUUACUCUUGUAUUACAGUCUUGAGACAUAGAAUUCACACCAGAAGGUCUUUGUAGUUGCAAACGGCAUUUCUCCUACACUGAGUCUUUAUCUCCCAUAUUCACCAGCCAGAGAGGACUAUGAGGGCUGCAGAAGCACACUGCAAUAUAAAAAGUAAGCUAGGUAGCAUGGGAGCAUGACAGCAAACUUUAUAAGCAGAUGCUUAUAAACAUGCUGCUAACUGUGCCGUAACAAAUGUUUGAUUCCCUCUUUGAGUGCAGACAUUCAGCAUCACUUUUUAGUUCCAGCCUUACAUUAAAUAGCAGCUUUACUGAGGCACAGAAGGAAAUGGAGAUGCUGAGUUUAGGAGCAUACAGUGUGAGGGUUCACUUUUUUCUUACACAGUUGCUGACUAAAUAAACAAAGCAGGUGUUUUGUAUUACUGUGGGAGCAAAUUUAUCUUUGCUGAUCAGCAGUAGGAGGAAACAUGGGAAGAUGACAAUAAAGCUGUCAGACUCCCCUGCCCAAGACGUUGGGUCUGGGGUCCUAAACUCAGCUUGAUGGAAAAGAGCUUUGCACCGUUCCCAGGAGGCGAUCCCAGGGAGGCAGAGGGUGCCCUGCUCCCUGCAGCUUUGCAGCUCGGCGAUCAGCCCUCGCUGGAGGAAUGCACCCUCUUGGGAGCUGGUGGAUCCAAGUCCAACAGAGACUGCAAAACCAACAUCCAGCUACUCUCCAGUCUCGUCUUUGCUAAUGUCUAUUUUCAUUCAUGUUUUCCACAGGAGAUAUGCAAGUAUCACAAAAUGUACUACCAUAACCAAAACACUUGUCAUGGCUGUGGCAGAGAAGACAAGGGAAGUUUACGGAGACUAACUUGCUCUUUAAUCCAACUGUCAGUCCGCUUAUCUAAGAAGAAAGGUGGGUAGUUUAGGCAUGCUUGUUUUCCUGUUGCAACUCUUUCUAAGUAGAUGGGGCUUUUCAGUCUCUAUGGAGUCAACACCACACCUUCUGUGACUGAGCUCUUCUGCUUUCUCUUCUCUCCCUCUCCCCUGGCAUGCUUUUAUCUGUGUCUAAUUGUGCUUUCUACGACCUCUCUCUCAUCACAUACUGCCUUUGAUGUUGGUGCUGUCAUGGAGAUUAUUUUUGUGCUCUUUUCUGUAACUACUUUACCAUGGACUCAUGUUGUCUCUUUUUUCUGAGUGGUUUUUUUAAUGCAUAAAUGUAUAUCCACAUUUAUCUCAGUUCCUUUCUGUUCAGUCGUGUGUUCUUCUAGGAGGGAGCCAAAUGAUGAGGACAAGCAACAGGGGAUUUAACUGCACCUGAAUAUCAGGGAAUUUGGCUUUUCAGAACAUCCCAUGAAGUAAAUGUAAAACAAAAUUUACGUUGCAGUGAAAGCGUGCCUCUUGGAAGGGAUUUGUUGAGGGAAGGACUCACCCCUGGGAUGCAGCCCUGUGCUUUCCCACCGUACGAGUUCAUUUGUUUUGGCACUGGUGCUCUGUAAGGGCUGGUUUACAUGCCUCUGCAUCCAGCCGCUGCUGAUCUGCUCUAGUAUUUUCGUUCAAAGAGCUACUGGGAAUGAGUCCUAAAAAAAUUUUGCAGAGAUGCCUUCAUUAGUUUGGCUGAAAAGGAUGCUAAAAAAAGUUGUGUGGCAGAUGCCUUUCUCCAGAAGCAGUCUGUGGUGACUGGUGGGACCACAGCUGAUGUCUGGAUGCUACAGCUCUGUAGCCUUAUUUCAGAGACAAACCAGCCCUCCCACCAUUUGUUGCUCAGGGACUGAUUUUCAGAAUUAUCAGCCUUUGCUAGCAACAAAUAACAAGGGAAGCAAACAAAAAACCAAAAUCAAGAAGAAUCAAUAUACUUAAAGAAAGAAGAUAACUUCUCUAUAGUUGUUAUCUUGCUGGAUAAACCUGCAAUGAUGACCAUUGUAUUUCACACAGCUUUUCAAGAGAUGAGCUAAAACUGCUGACACGUAGUAAAUUCUUGCAGACAUUUAUUCGCAACUACCCAUAUAAAGGUUUAAUCUGUUCUUCCAACACAGCCUUUCUGGGGGAGGAACAUAACGGGUGGAGGGAAAUUGUAAAGGGUGCAAGAAGAUAACAGAGGAUGGUAGAGAGCAGAAAAAACACUGCUCAAAUUAGCACUUCAUCAGGAUUAUCAAGACAGACAGAUCACUGGAUUUCUAAAGAUCAGUGCUCCACCAUCUUUCAGCUAGAAGGCAUCCCAGAUGCUGUUUUGUAGUUGUAAGAGGAAACGUUUCACCUCUUGAAUCACUAACAUGUCUCAAUUAGAAGCCUCCUUUAAUGAUCAACCUGUUCAAGAAAGAGCAAGGCCUAAUCUUGAUUAAUUUGACAGGUUCUUAAAUUGACUGGUAUGGCUGGAGAUGUCAGAAGAGAGGACUGAUGUAGGUGGCAGGUGGAGGCAUCAAUCUCGUCUCUUUGGAGCAGAGAUCCCAUUGGGCUGGAAAGCGCAGGGUGAGCCAUAAGGGCUGAGUGCGAGCAUCCUUUUGGCUUUCUUGGUGAGAAACAGCAGGGUGCCCAGGAAAGCAGAUGUUUGGUGGACAGAAAGACCAGAGAUACGCAAGCCAAAUCUAUCCCCCGUGUGAUUUUGUUGGCUUUAGGGAACAUAUAUAAAAAAGGAAGAGGGCAAAAUAAUGUGCAAAAGACAAGCCCAGACCAGCAUCAAAGAAAUAACAAGUACUGGCCUGAAGUAAAGAAAAGCCUGAAACUCAACUUGGUAUAUGCUGGUGGAGACAGGCUGGCUCUUGGGAGUCCCGGAGGGGAUGGAGGGGAGGAGGAACCUCGAGGGCCACUGAGGGCUGGUGGGAGGGAACGUCCCCACCAGCCCAUCACGCUGGCCCCAGCUGUGGGGCUGGAACCCACAGGCACCCUGGCAGGGCAGGGUCUUUCCCUUAACCUCCAUGGUGGUGGUAAAUGGCAGGAACAUUUCCUCAUCUCCUCUCCUGAUGGCGAGUGGCUUGAGUCUGGGUGGGAAGGUCCUGCCAGACACCCGCCGAACCUUCCUGACUCUACACAAUGUCACAGCAAGCACGCUGUCGCAGCUAGCGAGCCAUCGCAGCAAGUGUGCCGUCACAGCAAGCGUGCCGUCGCAGGAGGGGCACUGCCAUCUGCAUCCCACACCACGGUCCCGAAACCAGGGAACAGCAGCGUCAGGAGCUUGCCAUCAGAAAAGCAUCGUCUCUCUCUACAGAGUGAGCAGAGCAGCUCAUGCAGCAGAAAGAAAACAUCUGGCAAGCCAGUGCAGGGUUACUGAAAACAGGUUAUGAAAGAUACUAUCAGAUAGCUGCUCGGCUUCACGUUCAAAACAAGGCUGUAGUCAAAUAAUUUUCCUUCAGACAGCCAAGCGCACGGGCAGCUGUCGGGGAGGCUGGUGAGCGCCUGCCCGGGCAUUGCCCACAGCUGCGCAGGCAGGAGCAGGACCGUGCCCUCCUGCAUCUGUAGCAUCCACGGCUGUCGCCUCUUGCGUUCAGCUGGGGGCUAAAAAUGAAUCUUGAGUGUCUCAUUUGAAAACCUUUUACAAAUACCACGCUGACAUGCAAAUAGGAGAAUGUGGCAAAACAAUACGUGACACACAGCUUGCUCCUCUCCUUUGAAAAACUCAGAUGUUUUCUUGUCACAAAGCUGCUCAUUCUUUCCUCUUAACAUAAACAUUGUAAUGAGAAUAAAAUGGUUUUCUUUGACAAAAUGCUAUGUGUUGAUGUUUAAGCAAAACUAACAUUUUGUAAAGGAAAUGAAAAAGAAAGGAAGCUCUUUGACAAAUUCUGUGAGCAAAGAAAUUGUUGUUUUAUUUUCUGAACAGAUUAAUUUCACUGUUAUUGGAUGUCAACCCAGAUGCAAAGCGGUGUCCAGGGGUACUCGAAAGGGAAAUGAUUAAGAAAUGUGAGUAAGCAUCCUCCCUUUGGGUGUGUGAGUCAAGAAACAAGGGAUUUUUUUGUGAUGUGUUGCUAAUUACUUGAGCUCCUCAAAUCUUGUGCCUUCACACAGCUUCAAAAAAGGCGUAUAAAAAUCCUACACUUCUCUGUACAAUUACACUGUAUAAAUCAUUAACUCCAAAUAAACUGCAGUGAUCAUGUGUGUU